GGUUCUAUGGUGUAACAUUUAGCAGUCUGGACUCUGAAUCCAGUGUUCUGGGUUCAAAUCUCAGUAGAACCC
rnacentral:tRNA from 1 species